rnacentral:piRNA from 1 species
CAACUACAUAGAAACCAUCACAGC